CCUACGGGCGGCAGCAGUGGGGAAUAUUGCACAAUGGGGGGAACCCUGAUGCAGCGACGCCGCGUGAGUGCAGAAGUAUUUCGGUAUGUAAAGCUCUGUCAGCAGGGAAGAAAAUGACGGUACCUGACUAAGACGCCCCGGCUAACUACGUGCCAGCAGCCGCGGUAAUACGUAGGGGGCAAGCGUUAUCCGGAUUUACUGGGUGUAAAGGGAGCGUAGACGGUUAUGCAAGUCUGGAGUGAAAGACCGAGGCUCAACCCUCGGACUGCUGUGGAAACUGGCAGACUGGAGUGCAGGAGAGGUAAGCGGAAUUCCUAGUGUAGCGGUGAAAUGCGUAGAUAUUAGGAGGAACACCAGUGGCGAAGGCGGCUUACUGGACUGUAACUGACGUUGAGGCUCGAAAGCGUGGGGAGCAAACAGGAUUAGAUACCCGGGUAGUC
rnacentral:rRNA from 1 species